AAUAGAGAAGCGAGACAGUGGAAUUGGACGCAGGUCGGCCAUCUUGUGGCAAAAGAAGCCUUAAAUUCCACACGUGCGGCAAUCCCUCGAAUCGGCCAGAGCGCCUUAGGACAGCUUCCAAAAUCAUAAAUCCCAUUCCGAGCCGUCAAAGAGGGUGAACGAAUGAACUUGGCGAAAGUGUCUCGAUCCGAACAAUCAGACCAGCAGACCGUUGUCCAGCACUCACAGCAGGAAUUUGAAAGUCUAUUGGCGAUCUCUUUUCGAACGAACUGGCGCGGCAGUAUUUCGAUUGAGAUCGGGCCAUCGAAUCGCAGACCGCAGCGCGGUGCUCACACGUGGAGAAAAGAAACGGAUUACGAACUUCAGCACCCAGAGCCUUCCCGGAGGAAUUAAAAAACCACUCAAUUACGUUGGCGGGCAGCAGGGACUAUGUCCAAGGGCUUGACGAUCCCUCCCCAGGCCAUCUGCGAGUUGUGGGGCUUGCCUAGGAUGUGGUGGGGUUUGAUAGUGGGCCCUGUUAAACCUCUAUAAAAAGCUGCAUGUAUCCGCAAGUAGGCCCCACCAAAGCGACCGUGUGCCGCUCAAAGCGCACAAGCCCAAGUCCUGGUGUUAGGUGGGACGCUAAACAGCCCUGACACGACGGCCCUCCGACGAGACAGGAGGUUUGCGCAGGCCCAAUAAGCCGCCUAGAAAACCAAUCAUUACGAACAAUAUAAGAGAUAAUGCGACUGGCUGGCAUCGAGCGGCUACCUUCUACCAAAGCUGUGGCACCACCAACGAGCUGGGAACCGGCUUCAUAGUGCUGGGUAAGAUGCGCCAACGCGUGAUUGGGUGGCAGCCAAUCAACGCAAGGAUGUGCAAGCUGAGGAUUAAAGGCCGUUUCUUCAACUAUAGCAUCAUCAACGUGCACUGCCCACACGAAGGGAGACCCGACGACGAGAAAGAAGCGUUCUACGCACAGCUGGAGCAGACAUACGAUGGAUGCCCACUGCGGGACGUUAAAAU